CAUCCAGGACACAGUCAGCUCCAGCUCCUUGUCCCUCCUGUGACCACCUCCAGCCUCUCCCAGCUGAGCACUGGACCAGUUGGAGUUCACAAAGGGUCAGCAGGGGUUUCCUUUGCACUUAACUAAAGGAUGUGUGCUGGGCGAGUGUUGACCUCUGAGUCUCAGUUCCCUCCUCUGUAAACAGGAAUACAACAGCCUGCUCCUGUCGCCUGCCUUCCGGGGGAGUCAAAACUUCAAGGAGUAGCUGUGGAUUACCUUUAAUAAGUGGCGCAGCUCCUGGCCAAGGGAUCAUAUGUGUGUGUGUGUGGGUGUGUGUGGUGGGGAUGGGAUUGCGGUUUUUAAAACAGUUUUUAAAAUAUAUAUUUUUUUAUUGAUUUCAGAGAGGGAGAGAGAGACAGAAACAUCGAAUCAAGCCCACAACCCGGGCAUAUGCCCUGACUGGGAAUCGAACCAUGAGCUCCUGGCUCAUAGGUUGACACCCAACUACCAAGCCAUACUGGCUGGGCAAGUGCUGUGGGUGAAUAAAAAUACCAAUAAACCGCAAAUGUGUCUCCUAAACUCAACAGCGUUAGGUUUGACUGGAAAGUAUUAAUUGUGCCUCAUUUGAGCUCAUCCCUGCUUCUGCUCUGUUGGUGACAUUCCCUGUGUGUCACGCACAGUGUGCUGUCUGUGCUAUGCUAUGCUUCGACAAGAGAUUAAAUUUUAGCAUGUUUUAUAUUUCAUCCUAAAUUUUUUUUUUCGAGUGUAUGAAGUCACAUCGGUUAUGUUUGAUAACCCACUUUUGCAUGGAUUUUCCUAUAAAUUAGAGGGCGUUGUGCCUCUCAACUCUCACACCACAGUACGGAGAAACCCCCAGCACGUGGAAAUAUGACGGAUGUCGUGUUAGCGUGUGGCUUGGCAAUAAUAAGGAUUAUAAAUGACUCACUAGGCAGAGAGAACCGGGGAGACUUGCUGGGAAGAAAGAAACGGCGUGCUGUCUUUAUGGGCAGCCCGAAGAAGGCACCAGAAAGAUAUAUCACUUUCACCUGGUUUGUAUUUCUAAGGGGGUUUUAUUAACCCCUUUUUAUCAAUCGAAAUAAAUUGAUUGCCAGUGAAUGCAAUAUUUUCUGACUCUUUGAAAUUAUAAAACAGAAGCAAAGACCGAAAACUCACGUAUUUCAUCUCCUGGUAAAUGAGAGACAAACUCCCUCGGACGAGACUGCUAAAUAGUGUUAAAGAUUUCUGUGGCGGUUCCUUAAGAUAGGAUGUUUCCUUUAAGGCCAGGAGUGGGCCUUGGGGCAUCUGGAACCGGCUUUAUCCUGCCGUGUUAGUGGCCAGGUAUUCCAGAACACCGCUCUUUAAUAUUCAUGCCUCAUCGUAAAAGGACAUAUUUCUGUAGGUAAAUACAUUUAUGGCUAAUAACACGCUCUGGGUAGAGAAUGAUAUAAUAACCUGCUUCAAGGAGAGAGGAAGCCAGGUGGCCUGGAAUCCCUUGACAAGUGCCGCCUGAAGCCACUUCCAGCCGAGACACAGUGAUGGCGAACGUGUGGGAACGGGAAAAUCAACAAUUCUCCCAAGCGGGAAGGCAUUUGAGGUCAGCAAUCAUUCCACAGAAAACGUAUCCCAGCCACCCCAGCCCGAGGGGUGCCGCCCCGAUGGGGGACCCUCUGAACUGGGAGUUCUCCCAGGAUCAGAAGCCAUUCUGGACCCGGCACAGCCUUCAGGAUGGCUUUACUGUCACCGCCUUCCUCAGGGCCCCUGAGCCUCGCUGGGGGCAGCUGGUGACCCCUGGGCACAGGCGCUCUGGAGGAGGCUCAAGAAUACAGGUUUCAGAAAGUUCAAACAAAUACUUGGCCCUGGCCGUGGGGCCUCAGCUGGUUGGGCGUCGUCCAUCCACACACCAAAAGGUUGCCAGUUCAGUUCCCUAUCAGGGCACAUGCCAGGGUUGAGGGCUCCGUCCCCGGUAGGGAGCGUGCAUGAGGCAGCUGAUUGACGGUUCAAUGUUUCUCUCUCCC